CAUCCCUUGUAAUAGCGAGCGGACCAAUGUGCAUCUCCGCAAGCCGCUCGUCUACACCGGGGGAAAGAUA
rnacentral:snoRNA from 1 species